rnacentral:rRNA from 1 species
GAUGAACGCACAAGACGUGCCUAACACAUGCAAAUCGAAUGAAAAUAAUUAAUUAUUGUUUUCAUGGUGAACGGGUGAGUAACACAUAAGAAUCAGCUUUUAGAUAAGGCAUAAAAGAGUAAUAUCUUGGUAAUUCCUUAUAUGCGCAGCAGUGCUUAAAAAGGGGAGUCCCGUCUAAAAACGAGCUUAUGCCUGAUUAGCUAGUUGGCGAGUUAAAAGCUCACCAAGGCGAAGAUCAGUAGCUGGCCUGAGAGGGCGGCCAGCCACAUUGGGACUGAGACACGGCCCAAACUCCUACGGGAGGCAGCAGUGGGGAAUCUUCUGCAAUGGGCGCAAGCCUGACAGAGCGGCGUCGUGUGAAGGAAGAAGGCCUGAAAUAGGUUGUAAACUUCUUUUACUGAGUAAUGAAUAAUGACAACGCAGUAAAAAAGUAUCGGCUAACUCCGUGCCAGCAGCCGCGGUAAUACGGGGGAUGCAAGCGUUAUCCGGAAUCACUGGGCGUAAAGCGUCUGUAGGUGGUUUAGUGUGUUCUUAGUUAA